AAAUUGAAGAGUUUGAUCAUGGCUCAGAUUGAACGCUGGCGGCAGGCCUAACACAUGCAAGUCGAGCGGUAGCACAGAGAGCUUGCUCUCGGGUGACGAGCGGCGGACGGGUGAGUAAUGUCUGGGAAACUGCCUGAUGGAGGGGGAUAACUACUGGAAACGGUAGCUAAUACCGCAUAACGUCGCAAGACCAAAGUGGGGGACCUUCGGGCCUCAUGCCAUCAGAUGUGCCCAGAUGGGAUUAGCUAGUAGGUGGGGUAACGGCUCACCUAGGCGACGAUCCCUAGCUGGUCUGAGAGGAUGACCAGCCACACUGGAACUGAGACACGGUCCAGACUCCUACGGGAGGCAGCAGUGGGGAAUAUUGCACAAUGGGCGCAAGCCUGAUGCAGCCAUGCCGCGUGUGUGAAGAAGGCCUUCGGGUUGUAAAGCACUUUCAGCGGGGAGGAAGGCGGUGAGGUUAAUAACCUCAUCGAUUGACGUUACCCGCAGAAGAAGCACCGGCUAACUCCGUGCCAGCAGCCGCGGUAAUACGGAGGGUGCAAGCGUUAAUCGGAAUUACUGGGCGUAAAGCGCACGCAGGCGGUCUGUCAAGUCGGAUGUGAAAUCCCCGGGCUCAACCUGGGAACUGCAUUCGAAACUGGCAGGCUAGAGUCUUGUAGAGGGGGGUAGAAUUCCAGGUGUAGCGGUGAAAUGCGUAGAGAUCUGGAGGAAUACCGGUGGCGAAGGCGGCCCCCUGGACAAAGACUGACGCUCAGGUGCGAAAGCGUGGGGAGCAAACAGGAUUAGAUACCCUGGUAGUCCACGCCGUAAACGAUGUCGAUUUGGAGGUUGUGCCCUUGAGGCGUGGCUUCCGGAGCUAACGCGUUAAAUCGACCGCCUGGGGAGUACGGCCGCAAGGUUAAAACUCAAAUGAAUUGACGGGGGCCCGCACAAGCGGUGGAGCAUGUGGUUUAAUUCGAUGCAACGCGAAGAACCUUACCUGGUCUUGACAUCCACAGAACUUAGCAGAGAUGCUUUGGUGCCUUCGGGAACUGUGAGACAGGUGCUGCAUGGCUGUCGUCAGCUCGUGUUGUGAAAUGUUGGGUUAAGUCCCGCAACGAGCGCAACCCUUAUCCUUUGUUGCCAGCGGUUAGGCCGGGAACUCAAAGGAGACUGCCAGUGAUAAACUGGAGGAAGGUGGGGAUGACGUCAAGUCAUCAUGGCCCUUACGACCAGGGCUACACACGUGCUACAAUGGCAUAUACAAAGAGAAGCGACCUCGCGAGAGCAAGCGGACCUCAUAAAGUAUGUCGUAGUCCGGAUUGGAGUCUGCAACUCGACUCCAUGAAGUCGGAAUCGCUAGUAAUCGUAGAUCAGAAUGCUACGGUGAAUACGUUCCCGGGCCUUGUACACACCGCCCGUCACACCAUGGGAGUGGGUUGCAAAAGAAGUAGGUAGCUUAACCUUCGGGAGGGCGCUUACCACUUUGUGAUUCAUGACUGGGGUGAAGUCGUAACAAGGUAACCGUAGGGGAACCUGCGGUUGGAUCACCUCCUUACCUUAAAGAA
rnacentral:rRNA from 4 species